rnacentral:rRNA from 1 species
UCAGAGGGAGGUAGANUUCCACGUGUAGCAGUGAAAUGCGUAGAGAUGUGGAGGAAUACCGAUGGCGAAGGCAGCNUCCUGGGAUAACACUGACGUUCAUGCCCGAAAGCGUGGGUAGCAAACAGGAUUAGAUACCNUGGUAGUCCACGCCCUAAACGAUGUCGAUUAGCUGUUGGGCAGCUUGACUGCUUAGUAGCGAAGCUAACGCGUGAAAUCGACCGCCUGGGGAGUACGGUCGCAAGAUUAAAACUCAAAGGAAUUGACGGGGACCCGCACAAGCGGUGGAUGAUGUGGAUUAAUUCGAUGCAACGCGAAGAACCUUACCUGGUCUUGACAUGUACGGAACCCUCCAGAGACGGAGGGGUGCCUUCGGGAGCCGUAACACAGGUGCUGCAAGGCUGUCGUCAGCUCGUGUCGUGAGAUGUUGGGUUAAGUCCCGCAACGAGCGCAACCCUUGUCAUUAGUUGCCAUCAUUAAGUUGGGCACUCUAAUGAGACUGCCGGUGACAAGCCGGAGGAAGGUGGGGAUGACGUCAAGUCCUCAUGGCCCUUAUGACCAGGGCUUCACACGUCAUACAAUGGUCGGUACAGAGGGUAGCCAAGCCGCGAGGUGGAGCCAAUCUCACAAAACCGAUCGUAGUCCGGAUUGCACUCUGCAACUCGAGUGCAUGAAGUCGGAAUCGCUAGUAAUCGCAGGUCAGCAUACUGCGGUGAAUACGUUCCCGGGUCUUGUACACACCGCCCGU